rnacentral:rRNA from 1 species
GAUGAACGCUGGCGGCGUGCCUAACACAUGCAAGUCGAACGAACAGACGAGGGGCUUGCUCCUCUAACGUUAGCGGCGGGCGGGUGAGUAACGCGUGGAUCACCUACCUAUAAGACUGGGAUAACUUCGGGAAGCCUGAUCUAAUACCAUAUAAUAUCUGCAACCGCAUGAUUCAGUGGUAAAAGAGGCUUUUGCUGUCACUUAGAGACGGAUCCGCGCCGCAUUAUCUAGGUGGUAAGGUAACCGCUUACCAAGGCAAGGAUGCGAAGCCGGCCUGAACGGGUGGUUGGGCAGACUGGAACAGAGACACGGUCCCGACACUGACGGGAGGCCACAGUCGGGAAUCUUACGGAAUGGGGGAAAGCCUGAUGUAGCAACACCGGGUGAGUGAUGAAGGACCUACGAUGGUAAAAGUAUGUUGGUCGGGAAGAAGAAAAGUCCUAUUAUAUAUGCACGUCUUGACGGUACCUAACAAGAAAGCCACGGCUAACUACGUG